AGUGGAUGGGGAGCAACCUAGUUGUGCGUGUGUAAAGGUAGUGCCAAGAAAAGCGAUGAUCAUGUUGAAAAUCAAUUCCCGGUACCCGAAACCGACACAGGUGGGCAAGUAGAGAAUACUAAGGGGCGCGAGGUAACUCUCUCCAAGGAACUCGGCAAAAUGACCCCGUAACUUAGGGAGAAGGGGUGCCACCGAGAGGUGGUCGCAGUGAAGAGGCCCAGGCGACUGUUUAGCAAAAACACAGGUCUCUGCAAACUCGAAAGAGGAGGUAUAGGGGCUGACGCCUGCCCAGUGCCGGAAGGUUAAAGAAGUUGGUCAGUUUUAGGAUGAAGCUAGCGACUGAAGCCCCGGUGAACGGCGGCCGUAACUAUAACGGUCCUAAGGUAGCGAAAUUCCUUGUCGGGUAAGUUCCGACCCGCACGAAAGGCGUAACGAUCUGGGCGCUGUCUCGGAGAGAGGCUCGGCGAAAUAGGAUUGUCUGUGAAGAUACGGACUACCUGCAUUUGGACAGAAAGACCCUAUGAAGCUUUACUAUAGCUUGGAAUUGUGUUCGGGCUUCCUGUGCGCAGGAUAGGUGGGAGGCGUAGAAGGUAUUCUUGUGGGGAUACUGGAGCCAACGGUGAGAUACCACUCUCAGGAGGCUAGAAUUCUAACUUAAUUAAGGACAGUUUCAGGUGGGUAGUUUGACUGGGGCGGUCGCCUCCAAAAAGGUAACGGAGGCGUACAAAGGUUCCCUCAGACUGGUUGGAAAUCAGUCGAAGAGUGCAAAGGCAGAAGGGAGCUUGACUGCGAGAAGUACAGUUCGAGCAGGGUGGAAACACGGUCUUAGUGAUCCGACGGUGCUGUGUGGAAGGGCCGUCGCUCAACGGAUAAAAGUUACUCUAGGAUAACAGGCUGAUCUCCCCCAAGAGUUCACAUCGACGGGGAGGUUUGGCACCUCGAUGUCGGCUCAUCGCAACCUGGGGCGGAAGUACGUCCCAAGGGUUGGGCUGUUCGCCCAUUAAAGCGGUACGUGAGCUGGGUUCAGAACGUCGUGAGACAGUUCGGUCCAUAUCCGAUGUAGGCGUGAGAAUAUUGAGAGGAGCCUUCCUUAGUACGAGAGGACCGGGAAGGACGCACCGCUGGUGUACCUGUUAUGAUGCCAAUUGUAAACGCAGGGUAGCCAAGUGCGGAGAGGAUAACCGCUGAAAGCAUCUAAGUGGGAAGCCCACCUCAAGAUGAGUAUUCUGGUGUAAGGUCACGGGAAGACGACCCGUAAAUAGGCACGAGGUGGAAGUGCAGAGAUGUAUGAAGCCGAAGUGUACUAAUAGACCGUCGGCUUGAC
rnacentral:rRNA from 1 species